UUGCAUGUAGAAAUACCUCUCCUCAUUCUCUUUGGAGAGGAUUAAAAGAGGAGUUCUCGGGGCUACCAACCUUACAGUAGAGGUUGAGUGAUAGUAUAUUUCUCCUACACAA